GCUCAUAGUCCAGUGAUUUUGAAUUAGCAAUUUUCAGUGUUAAGUUUUCUGCUGAAUCUGAUUGCUGUUGCUUGCUAAAAUAUCUUUCUUAAUAAAUGUUGCUUUCAAUAUAUAAAGAAAAUACCCUAGGGAAUUGGCAAUGUCAUUGCAAAAAACGAAAAACAACGUAAACACACCAAAAAAAAUCAGUAUUCGAGACACUACACAGAAACUUAAUACGGAUCAACCGCUGUAAAAACAGUAAACUUUCAAUACAAUUUAUGUUAAGCUAUUAUUCAGAGAGUAUGAUCUAAAUAUUUUAGCUGUAGAUCUGGGAUUUUCAACCCCCCUUUUUUAGCAUACCAACGUGGAGUGAAACCUGUUAAAAGUCUC
rnacentral:lncRNA from 1 species